UACGUAGGGUGCGAGCGUUGUCCGGAAUUAUUGGGCGUAAAGAGCUCGUAGGCGGCUCGUCGCGUCGACCGUGAAAACCCGCGGCUUAACUGCGGGCUUGCGGUUGAUACGGGCGGGCUAGAGUUCGGUAGGGGAGACUGGAAUUCCUGGUGUAGCGGUGAAAUGCGCAGAUAUCAGGAGGAACACCGGUGGCGAAGGCGCCACUCUGGGCCGAAACUGACGCUGAGGAGCGAAAGCGUGGGUAGCAAACAGG
rnacentral:rRNA from 1 species